AGAGUUUGAUCCUGGCUCAGGAUGAACGCUAGCGGCAGCUAAUACAUGCAAGGCGACUGUCGUACGGGUGCGUAACGCGUAUGCACCUACCUAUCACUGGGGGAUAGCCGGGGAAACCAUUAAUACCGCAUAAAACGCAUGUAAAGAUUGGUGAUAGAUGGGCAUGCGUUCGAUUAGCUAGUUGGCGGGUAACGGCCACCAAGGCGACGAUCGAUAGGGGAGCUGAAGGUUGGUCCCCCACACGGGCACUGAGAUACGGGCCCGACUCUACGGGAGGCAGCAGUAGGGAAUAUUGGGCAAUGGAUGCAAGUCUGACCCAGCCAUGCCGCGUGCCGGAUGAAGCUCAGGGUUGUAAACGGCUUUUAUUCGGGAAGAUGCUGACGGUACCGAAUGAAUAAGCACCGGCUAACUCCGUGCCGCAGCCGCGGUAAUACGGAGGGUGCGAGCGUUGUCCGGAUUUAUUGGGUUUAAAGGGUGCGUAGGUGGCUUUUAAGUCAGUGGUGAAAUACGUUGCUCAACAACGAGGUGCCAUUGAUACUGAAUGCUUGAAAUAAUUGGAGGCUGCCGGAAUGAUGGUGUAGCGGUGAAAUGCAUAGAUAUCAUCAGAACACCGAUUGCGAAGGCAGGUGGCUACGAUUUGUUUGACACUGAGGCACGAAAGCGUGGGGAUCAAACAGGAUUAGAUACCCUGGUAGUCCACGCCCUAAACGAUGAUAACUCGAUGUUAGUGUUAGCGUCUAGCGAAAGCGUUAAGUUACCACCUGGGGAGUACGCCCGCAAGGUAAACUNAAAGGAAUUGACGG
rnacentral:rRNA from 1 species